rfam:Beet soil-borne virus 19K and 104K protein genes, complete cds.
AGGUGAGAGUAGUUUCUCUCGGUCAUCAUCACACGAUGAUCCUGUGGGGUGCAAAUCCCCCCCUUAACUUGAGGGAAAUCAAGCCC